GCCAUCAUAGUGUAGUGGUCACCACGCUCGACGUGUAUUCGAGAGGGUCCGUGGUUCGACUCCCAGCGAGAGCA
rnacentral:tRNA from 1 species